rnacentral:rRNA from 1 species
CCUANGGGUGGCUGCAGUAACGAAUAUUCCGCAAUGGACGAAAGUCUGACGGAGCGACGCCGCGUGUGGGAUGAAGUCCUUCGGGAUGUAAACCACCGUCAGGGGCUGCCAAGCGAAGGGAGAUAACAUCUCCCGGAGUUGAGGAUCCCCAAAGGAAGCCACGGCAAACUUCGUGCCAGCAGCCGCGGUAAGACGAAGGUGGCAAGCGUUGUUCGGAAUCACUGGGCUUAAAGAGCACGUAGGCGGCCCUGCAAGUGCUUUGUGAAAUCCCCCGGCUCAACCGGGGAAUUGCAUGGCAAACUGCAGGGCUUGAGGCAGGUAGGGGCGAGUGGAACUCUUGGUGGAGCGGUGGAAUGCGUAGAUAUCAAGAGGAACGCCGGUGGUGAAGACGACUCGCUGGGCCUGUCCUGACGCUGAGGUGCGAAAGCCAGGGGAGCAAACGGGAUUAGAUACCCGGNUANUC